GGGUUGUGAGGUUAAGCGACUAAGCGUACACGGUGGAUGCCCUGGCAGUCAGAGGCGAUGAAGGACGUGCUAAUCUGCGAUAAGCGUCGGUAAGGUGAUAUGAACCGUUAUAACCGGCGAUUUCCGAAUGGGGAAACCCAGUGUGAUUCGUCACACUAUCAUUAACUGAAUCCAUAGGUUAAUGAGGCGAACCGGGGGAACUGAAACAUCUAAGUACCCCGAGGAAAAGAAAUCAACCGAGAUUCCCCCAGUAGCGGCGAGCGAACGGGGAGCAGCCCAGAGCCUGAAUCAGUGUGUGUGUUAGUGGAAGCGUCUGGAAAGGCGCGCGAUACAGGGUGACAGCCCCGUACACAAAAAUGCACAUGCUGUGAGCUCGAUGAGUAGGGCGGGACACGUGGUAUCCUGUCUGAAUAUGGGGGGACCAUCCUCCAAGGCUAAAUACUCCUGACUGACCGAUAGUGAACCAGUACCGUGAGGGAAAGGCGAAAAGAACCCCGGCGAGGGGAGUGAAAAAGAACCUGAAACCGUGUACGUACAAGCAGUGGGAGCACGCUUAGGCGUGUGACUGCGUACCUUUUGUAUAAUGGGUCAGCGACUUAUAUUCUGUAGCAAGGUUAACCGAAUAGGGGAGCCGAAGGGAAACCGAGUCUUAACUGGGCGUUAAGUUGCAGGGUAUAGACCCGAAACCCGGUGAUCUAGCCAUGGGCAGGUUGAAGGUUGGGUAACACUAACUGGAGGACCGAACCGACUAAUGUUGAAAAAUUAGCGGAUGACUUGUGGCUGGGGGUGAAAGGCCAAUCAAACCGGGAGAUAGCUGGUUCUCCCCGAAAGCUAUUUAGGUAGCGCCUCGUGAAUUCAUCUCCGGGGGUAGAGCACUGUUUCGGCAAGGGGGUCAUCCCGACUUACCAACCCGAUGCAAACUGCGAAUACCGGAGAAUGUUAUCACGGGAGACACACGGCGGGUGCUAACGUCCGUCGUGAAGAGGGAAACAACCCAGACCGCCAGCUAAGGUCCCAAAGUCAUGGUUAAGUGGGAAACGAUGUGGGAAGGCCCAGACAGCCAGGAUGUUGGCUUAGAAGCAGCCAUCAUUUAAAGAAAGCGUAAUAGCUCACUGGUCGAGUCGGCCUGCGCGGAAGAUGUAACGGGGCUAAACCAUGCACCGAAGCUGCGGCAGCGACGCUUAUGCGUUGUUGGGUAGGGGAGCGUUCUGUAAGCCUGUGAAGGUGUACUGUGAGGUAUGCUGGAGGUAUCAGAAGUGCGAAUGCUGACAUAAGUAACGAUAAAGCGGGUGAAAAGCCCGCUCGCCGGAAGACCAAGGGUUCCUGUCCAACGUUAAUCGGGGCAGGGUGAGUCGACCCCUAAGGCGAGGCCGAAAGGCGUAGUCGAUGGGAAACAGGUUAAUAUUCCUGUACUUGGUGUUACUGCGAAGGGGGGACGGAGAAGGCUAUGUUGGCCGGGCGACGGUUGUCCCGGUUUAAGCGUGUAGGCUGGUUUUCCAGGCAAAUCCGGAAAAUCAAGGCUGAGGCGUGAUGACGAGGCACUACGGUGCUGAAGCAACAAAUGCCCUGCUUCCAGGAAAAGCCUCUAAGCAUCAGGUAACAUCAAAUCGUACCCCAAACCGACACAGGUGGUCAGGUAGAGAAUACCAAGGCGCUUGAGAGAACUCGGGUGAAGGAACUAGGCAAAAUGGUGCCGUAACUUCGGGAGAAGGCACGCUGAUAUGUAGGUGAAGUCCCUCGCGGAUGGAGCUGAAAUCAGUCGAAGAUACCAGCUGGCUGCAACUGUUUAUUAAAAACACAGCACUGUGCAAACACGAAAGUGGACGUAUACGGUGUGACGCCUGCCCGGUGCCGGAAGGUUAAUUGAUGGGGUCAGCGCAAGCGAAGCUCUUGAUCGAAGCCCCGGUAAACGGCGGCCGUAACUAUAACGGUCCUAAGGUAGCGAAAUUCCUUGUCGGGUAAGUUCCGACCUGCACGAAUGGCGUAAUGAUGGCCAGGCUGUCUCCACCCGAGACUCAGUGAAAUUGAACUCGCUGUGAAGAUGCAGUGUACCCGCGGCAAGACGGAAAGACCCCGUGAACCUUUACUAUAGCUUGACACUGAACAUUGAGCCUUGAUGUGUAGGAUAGGUGGGAGGCUUUGAAGUGUGGACGCCAGUCUGCAUGGAGCCGACCUUGAAAUACCACCCUUUAAUGUUUGAUGUUCUAACGUUGACCCGUGAUCCGGGUUGCGGACAGUGUCUGGUGGGUAGUUUGACUGGGGCGGUCUCCUCCUAAAGAGUAACGGAGGAGCACGAAGGUUGGCUAAUCCUGGUCGGACAUCAGGAGGUUAGUGCAAUGGCAUAAGCCAGCUUGACUGCGAGCGUGACGGCGCGAGCAGGUGCGAAAGCAGGUCAUAGUGAUCCGGUGGUUCUGAAUGGAAGGGCCAUCGCUCAACGGAUAAAAGGUACUCCGGGGAUAACAGGCUGAUACCGCCCAAGAGUUCAUAUCGACGGCGGUGUUUGGCACCUCGAUGUCGGCUCAUCACAUCCUGGGGCUGAAGUAGGUCCCAAGGGUAUGGCUGUUCGCCAUUUAAAGUGGUACGCGAGCUGGGUUUAGAACGUCGUGAGACAGUUCGGUCCCUAUCUGCCGUGGGCGCUGGAGAACUGAGGGGGGCUGCUCCUAGUACGAGAGGACCGGAGUGGACGCAUCACUGGUGUUCGGGUUGUCAUGCCAAUGGCACUGCCCGGUAGCUAAAUGCGGAAGAGAUAAGUGCUGAAAGCAUCUAAGCACGAAACUUGCCCCGAGAUGAGUUCUCCCUGACUCCUUGAGAGUCCUGAAGGAACGUUGAAGACGACGACGUUGAUAGGCCGGGUGUGUAAGCGCAGCGAUGCGUUGAGCUAACCGGUACUAAUGAACCGUGAGGCUUAACCUUACAACGCCGAAGGUGUUU
rnacentral:rRNA from 2 species